rnacentral:lncRNA from 13 species
AAAUUUCAAUUUCACAUAAUUUUUACAUCAUAAAAUAUUCUUUUGAUUUUUUCAACCAUUUAGAAAUGUAAAUCAAAAAUAAAAACACCAAAAAAAAAAAAAAAAAAAAAAAAAAAAAAAAAAAAAAAAAAAAAAAAAAAAAACCACCUAUCCUAGAUUACAAGCCACACCCAAACAGGUACAAAAUGGAAAUUUGCUUGAGGGAAGUGGAAUGAUUUAUAUUUUGACUGAGAAUUAAAUAAGGCCAUUUUACCUUGAAGGGCUUUUAGAUAAGACAUCCAAAAUAGUAGGUCAUGGUAAAGGGUGUGAGAGAACAGAAUGAACCACUGAAUGGGGGUGGCCAUAGGGAAUGUUUUUAAGGAAACACCUUCUCCCUGCUAUGUGACCCACCAGAAUUGAACAAGGGGAAAUGAUGGUGGUAGCAGGUCAGUUUGAAAUGGACCUUCACGUAUUAUUUGGGUUGGGAAAAUCCCCUCUCUCCAACCACACCUUGGCCACUCCAGCACCACCACCCCCACAGAGGUGUCAGCGCUUUGUGAUGUCCAAGCCACCCCAGGACUAUCAUUGGAUAGCGGUGCUCCUUUCUGACCAAACAAAGCUGAAGGGCGGGGCUCUAAUUACCCGGGGGGUGGGUAUAUACAAGGAGGUCAGGAGCGUGGGGUAGACCAUUGGGAGGCUUAAAUAUGGCUAAGGAGACCUACACACCAGUGAAGCCUAAAAAAACAAUGAAACAACCAAUUAUUAGCACGAAAAAGCCAACCCCAAGAACCAAAAAGAAGAAGGAAAAGAAGAAGGAAAAGAAGAACUCUUGUCAACAAAAGACCAACAAAAAUGGCAAGGUGGAGAAGAAAAUCACAAAGGUAAAAAAACCCCUUCAAAGAAAUUCAAGAAAAAAACCUCGAUCACCUCCUUCCUGCUCAAAAAAGCCUAGGAAGACAAUGAGCCCAGCAGCAUUUGUGUGUCAUCACAAGCAGAAUAAGACACAAAAUGAAAAUCAGAAGAGCAAGUGCAAAAAACCCCAGGAAGUAGAAAUCAGAAAAGCAAGCAUAGAAGACACUGGCAACGUCAAGCCAUCCCAAGUAACCAUCUCUGCUGCCAGUAAAUGCAGAGCCUGGAUCAGAAACGUAGAACUAGCAACAGCAUCUCCACAGGUGGCUCUGGGGAAUCGCCAAUCACAUAAAGGCCAAAUCUGAGAGCAACAGUGUUCACCCAUGUUGAAUGCAAUAAAAUAAACACGAUGCAAAAAGAUGAUGUGGAU